GGAAAAAAAUCUAAAGAAUAAACCACAGAAAAAAUAUUUUAAAUCUUCAUUUGAUAUCGUGAUGCGAGACUUCGAAACAAACCAUGAAAAAGAUAAAACAAAAUAUUUUUGGAUUUUAACUUGAUUACCUACGGGAGAAACCCUGAAAUAGACCAAAGAUAAAAUAUGUUUUUUUUUCUGUGUAAAAUAUCCUAACAUUCUAGUAGAAAUAAAAAGAAUUUUUUUUAUUUUUGC
rnacentral:lncRNA from 1 species